rnacentral:rRNA from 1 species
UACGUAGGGUGCGAGCGUUUAAUCGGAAUUACUGGGCGUAAAGCGUGCGCAGGCGGUUCGUUGUGUCGGUGGUGAAAUCCCCGGGCUUAACCUGGGAAUGGCCAUGGAAACUGGCGAACUGGAGUGCGGCAGAGGGGGGUGGAAUUCCGCGUGUAGCAGUGAAAUGCGUAGAGAUGCGGAGGAACACCAAUGGCGAAGGCAGCUUGCUGGGCCAUAUCUGACGCUGAGACACGAAAGCGUGGGGAGCGAACAGG